GAGAGAGCCAGAAUAGACAGCUCCUACAUUUCAUCUCCAUAGACGCUGGUAGAAGAGGCAUGCAAAGAGACAUGGUACAAAUCCAAGUUAAGGAAUUGUUCUCAGGAGAUUAAGCCAUGCCCCACUUCUGUGUAAUAGAUGAUAUCAACAUUGGCGUGGUGUUAAUAAUGAAGAGGAUAGGUCACUAAGGUGGAACAUUGUAGAUUACUUGGUAAACUGGAUGCAAGCAAAGAAUGUGAUUUUUAAUAUAGCUAAAUGUAAAUGUAUACAUCUAGGUUAAAAGAAUAUAGACCUUAUUUAUGGUGCAGGGGACUCUAUCCUGGCAAGCAAAGACUCUGAAAAAACGCAUUUGGUUUGUGAUCAAUAAUCAGCAGAAACUG